GUAUCAGGUGUGUCUGUAUGCUCAGUUAUUGGAUUUUCUGUUCAAUGAUUGGCUUGUUUUAAUCGGGUGUUUUCUGAGUUUUGUUUGAUAUCUAGUCGCUAAAAGUUGUGUUCUUUAUGUAUUUUGAGAUAUAUGGCAACUCAAGUGGAAUAUUUUGUCAAAAUUGAACUUUCCUCACUUGAUUGCGAAAUCCCAUCAUCUCUUAUUCAGUGGUUUUGACUGAAUGUAAGCAUAGUAAAAUGUUUAGUUUUGGGAUUCUGCAUUUGAGUUCAGUUUUUUACACUCAAUAGACUAAAAUGGUUUAAAUAUAAAAAUAGCUUUUGCCUCCUCAUUGAUUU
rnacentral:misc_RNA from 1 species